UAUAUGGGUAUAUGACCAACCAACAGGUUUAAAAUUAAAAAACGUAAUGAAUAUUCAUGAUAUUAUCGAAGAAGACAUGGUAAACAGUUCCGUAGUAUAACAUAGGUACGAUGUCAUGGCUCUUGAUUUUACGUAUACAAGCGAGCUGACAAAAUACAUCAUGGAGAUAAUCAAUUUUGAAGGAAAGAGCAACUGGAUGGUGUUCAUGGAGAGCAGCAGAAAAAAAAUGAUACUUAGACAGAUAUUAAGCUUCUUUAAUUGUUACGACGCAGGAUGAAAAUCAGAUACUAUGGUGAGAUAUGUUUACAUCUAUCCGGUUUUAAUCGAUAUGCAAGCUACAUGGAAACAGAUGGACUCGUCAAUUUGUCUCUGCAUUCCUGCUGUUACAGACAGUUUUGUUUAGCAUUCUUGUUUAUAUUUUUGAAGAGACCUGGGACUUUCAGAUGAUGGGAAAUUUAUAUUUUCUCUGAAUCAACUUACUAUUGAGAACUGAUUGUUCAAACCCCAUACCCUUUUUGUGAAAAUAAAUUUACACACUAAUUACUGCACAUAUUAACACAAAGCGCAAUAACACAUUUUGUUGUGCAGUACUAUAAUGUAGUGUGAAUAUAUUAAAUUUUCUACUUAUAAAGUGCAAUAGCAAUUUGUACAAAAAUAACUGUCAGUAUUAAGCUGAUUGCAUACCUUUAAUUUGGAUUCCUGAUGAUGACAUAAUUGAUAUCAAAGUAUUGAAUCCAUAAACUUUGAGUAUGUGUUAUUCUAUCUGUAUUCGAGAUUAAUCAGUGGACCUUUCGGUUUAAUUUGGAUUCUUGUAUUUUUAAAGGUUUAUUUUGUUCAUUAAAAAUAUAACAUGUAGAACAUAA